UUAAAUUAUAUUUAUUUUAUUAAUAAUAUUUAUUUUGUUUAGUAUUUAAGAUAAUAUAAUUGUAUUUUGAUUGUUAUAUCUAGGAUUUCACCCUUAGUAUACCGUCUCGUAUUACUAUCGAUCCAAACCCGUCAUACCAUCUAAUCCCGUUAAGUGAAACUAAACAUAUCUAAUGGAUUUCACCCGUGAUAUACCGUCUCGUAUUACUGUCGACCCAAACCCGUCCUGCCAUCUAACCCCGUUCAGUAAAUUAAACAUUUU
rnacentral:sRNA from 1 species